rnacentral:snoRNA from 1 species
AUGCGGUCGCAUGGCCUAAAAAAAAAAAAAAAAAAAAAAAAAUUUUUUUUUUUUUUUUUUUUUUUUUAGGCCAUGCGACCGCAU